UUUGAGAGACAACCUCUAAACCACCAGGCAUUACGUCACUGCAGUCCACCUGCGCAGGUGAGGCAGGACUGGCACCGCAACAUAUUUCUCUCUCCUUGCCUCCUCCUCCCCAUGAAGGGAAUGCAGCUCGGGUCAUAUGAUCGCUUCACUGACUGGAUGAGUAGUAGCUGCAGCCGACUGAGAGGCACAAGAGUCAGAAAGGAUCAACAAGAUGAAGGUACUCAACAGAGUUCUGGUCCACACGGCCGUGUUUCUUAUGCUGGAGGUCCUCGUUCAGGGAGACACCCCGGUGGGCUGUGUGUUUGGGGGGAACUGUGUGCUACCUUGCCGCUUCCAGCCAAACAGUGAUACGAUCCUCCACUGGAACAAGAUUAAUGGGAAGAACAUUCAGGUCCACUCCUACUACGAUGAACUGGACCAACUGGGACACCAGGACCCUCUCUACAAGGGAAGGACCUCCCUGUUCCAUGACCAGAUCUCAGGGGGCAACGCAUCCCUUGGUCUGGCCAGGGUGAACCUCCAGGACCAGGGCAGGUACCUGUGUUACGCCAGCACUUCACAGAACAACCAGGAGACCUUUGUCAUCCUGACAGUGAGAGCUCCUGAUCCAGCUCCUGUUGCUAGAGUUGACAUUGUGCUAGUGAACAACACUGUCACCUGUAAGUCUGGAGGAAUCUACCCAAUACCACAGCUCACCUGGUCCGUCAGUCCUCGCCCGGCUACUGUCCUCCAGAAAACAACCGAGGUCCAUGAAGAUGACCAGGGACUCUAUGACAUCAGCGGCUUCUUAAGGACUGUUUACAGUGACACAGAAUCAACAUACAGCUGCUCAGUCCAAAAUGAACACAGUGGAAGGAAAGCAACACUGAGGUUACGCUCUCCAAUGCAAAGUGCUCCCAAGAGUGAGGUGUUACUCCCUUGUGACGCCUCGGGGCUCGAUGACAUCACCUGGACCUUCAACCACAACCAGACCAUCCUCAGAAGACAAGCAGGACAAGAGGAGGUGGUGGAAACAGAGUGGCAGCAGCAUGUAAGAGACCUGUCUGAAUCAGGCAGCCUCCUGCUGUAUGUGACCUCAUCAGCCCAGAGUGAAGGGACGUACAGGUGUACUCUCAGGAAUGCAGACGAAGAUGACGUAACCCACAUUGAACUGAAGAUACUGAAGGACACUAUUGCAGAGGGAUCCAAUAGAACACUUGGGAUCACAUUAGGAGUCAUCAUUCCAGCUAUUCUUUCAGCUAUCGUCAUCAGCGUCAUCAUCAGGAGAAAAAAACAAUUCAUCAUAUAACACCCGUCUGCAUCUCAAGUGUACCAAUGCUUCCCCAGAGACCAUCUGGUCAGGUAAUCCCAGGUCCUUCUUUUGAGGGAGCACGGCUGGACAAGGCUGAGAAAGUUGUCUGUGUUAAGGGUUAAACCUCCUGACUUUAUCACCGUACCCUCAGACAUAGCAGGGUUUGACUCAUCAUAUGUUUAUCUGUUUAGUCAUUUAGAAGAGUUAAAGUAGGGCAGGCCUAUUGAACUGCUGGCCCAAAUUAUUAGCAGAAUGUAAACAAUCAAAAUACAUUUCUUAGCAAGGAAGAGAGCUGUUUCAAUUUAGUCCAAAAGGAAACUGUUUUAUUGACCAAGCAGCUACAUGUUUUUGCUGUAAUAGUCUAACUUUAUCUUCUCUAUAACUGUCUUGGAUCAUCUGGCGAUGUCCCCAGGUCCUGGAGAAGGGACAUCUUGUACCCAGUCUAUACCUCUCCUCUCUACAGAGCUUCCUGCAGGUCAAGCAACAUCCAGCACCACAUCCAGCCUUCUAGCACCCUCUAGUGAAACACAACCUGAAGGUCUAGAGACAUUCAUCCCUCCAGCUCCCUCUAGUGAAGCACAACCUGAAGGUCUAGAGACAUCCAGCCCUCCAACCCUCUAGUGAAACUAUCUCCAUCAGGUGCUACUGCAGUGCUUAGGAGUUGACUGAGAGUGUUAGGGGCUUAUUCUGACCUCUGAGUCCUCUGCUGGGAUUAGAGUCUGCUGCUUUGUUGCCCGGUGUCUUCAUCUGAGAUGGACUGGGAGGAUAUUUUUAUUCUACACCAGAGAAAGACUUUGAAAAGGUCAGACGGACAAUGUCAUGGGUACAACCGAGGCAACCUCAACAUCACAACAACAACAAAAUGGACGUCAUUGGUGACACACCACAGUACACACAACCAAGAGUGCAGACACAAGAGUCUGGAUUUAUGGGAAUGAAACGUUUUCUGACUAAAUACACAACGAUUUGUAGUUUGGUCAGUUGAAAAGCGGUGAGAUUUUUGUCAUCCUUAUGAUCCCACUAUUUUCUUUUACAUUGAGAUUUGUAACAAGUCGUGAAACUUAAGUUCAUCUUUAAGGCUAUGAUGAAUUGUAACAUGCAUCCAUUAUCUUCGCGUACCGUCUGUGUCAUUGUACUUCUACACAGAUUUAAUAGAAAAUAAUCUCCAACGGAAUACACCUAUUGUUAUUUGUUAAUAUUAUUAAUUUUAUUUGUAUUAUGACGUUGUAAUCCAUCUUUUUCAAAUACUUUUUGAAAAACGGUGUAAUGUGUAUAUAUGUAUAUAGUCAGCUAAAUGUAAAUUAUGGUUUUCCAUUUUGUUUUGUUUUGUUGCAAACAGUCCUACACUUCAUCUGCUGCUGUGCAGUUUAAACUAUUAUUGUGACGCCCAAAUCAAAUAAAUAAAUACAUAAAAAUAAAUUCCUCUUUUGCCCUUAAUUUCUCAC